CCUACGGGUGGCAGCAGUGAGGAAUAUUGGUCAAUGGGCGGGAGCCUGAACCAGCCAAGCCGCGUGAGGGAAGAAGGUCCUGCGUAUCGUAAACCUCUUUUGUCAGGGAACAAAGGCGGGGACUAGUCCCCGGCUGAGGGUACCUGAAGAAAAAGCAUCGGCUAACUCCGUGCCAGCAGCCGCGGUAAUACGGAGGAUGCGAGCGUUAUCCGGAUUUAUUGGGUUUAAAGGGUGCGCAGGCGGCCUGUUAAGUCAGCGGUAAAAGCCCGGGGCUCAACCCCGGCGAGCCGUUGAAACUGGCGGUCUUGAGUGAGUGAGAAGUACGCGGAAUGCGCGGUGUAGCGGUGAAAUGCAUAGAUAUCGCGCAGAACCCCGAUUGCGAAGGCAGCGUACCGGCGCCAAACUGACGCUGAGGCACGAAAGCGUGGGUAUCGAACAGGAUUAGAUACCCGUGUAGUC
rnacentral:rRNA from 1 species